UCAAAAGUCACACCUACCCAUAUAUUGUUUCGCCACCAAAAUAUUCCCCUUUGUUCGUACGAAUUGAAAUCUGAUUCAUGAUUUUAAAGCAUGAAAACAAGCAUGUGGAUUGCCUGUUUGAUGACAGUUCAAUGUGCUUUUUCUAGAGCAAAAAUUGCAGGAAGUGAAACAACGUUUUCACGCCGCUAGAACGAUAUUGGAAUUUGGAACACAAUAUGACAAU